GGAGGGAAUAUUGGGACAAUGGGUGAGAGCCUGAUCCAGCCAUCCCGCGUGAAGGAUGACGGCCCUAUGGGUUGUAAACUUCUUUUGUAUAGGGAUAAACCUACCCACGUGUAUCUAGCUGAAGGUACUAUACGAAUAAGCACCGGCUAACUCCGUGCCAGCAGCCGCGGUAAUUGAA
rnacentral:rRNA from 1 species